AACGAACGCUGGCGGCAUGCCUAAUACAUGCAAGUCGAACGAGAUCUUCGGAUCUAGUGGCGCACGGGUGCGUAACGCGUGGGAAUCUGCCCUUGGGUGCGGAAGAACUUCUGGAAACGGAAGCUAAUACCGGAUGAUGCCUUAAGUCCAAAGAUUUAUCGCCCAAGGAUGAGCCCGCGUAGGAUUAGCUAGUUGGUGGGGUAAAGGCCCACCAAGGCGACGAUCCUUAGCUGGUCUGAGAGGAUGAUCAGCCACACUGGGACUGAGACACGGCCCAGACUCCUACGGGAGGCAGCAGUAGGGAAUAUUGGACAAUGGGCGCAAGCCUGAUCCAGCAAUGCCGCGUGAGUGAUGAAGGCCUUAGGGUUGUAAAGCUCUUUUACCCGGGAUGAUAAUGACGGUACCGGGAGAAUAAGCCCCGGCUAACUCCGUG
rnacentral:rRNA from 1 species